UACGUAGGGGGCAAGCGUUAUCCGGAUUUACUGGGUGUAAAGGGAGCGUAGGCGGCUUAGUAAGUCAGAAGUGAAAGCCCGGGGCUCAACUCCGGGACUGCUUUUGAAACUGUGUGACUGGAGUGCAGGAGAGGUAAGCGGAAUUCCUGGUGUAGCGGUGAAAUGCGUAGAUAUCAGGAGGAACACCAGUGGCGAAGGCGACUUUCUGGACAGUAACUGACGUUGAGGCACGAAAGUGUGGGGAGCAAACAGG
rnacentral:rRNA from 1 species